AACCAAAGUUGCGUUAUCGAACUUGCUAAUGUCUGAUUCUGUUGAUGAAAAGCUGAGAUCUUAUUCUUCACUGUUACCAAAUUGAUGUGAAUGACCGAGUCCGAUGAGGAAUGAAUAUUAUGAUGGUAUUUAUUGUUUUUUUCUCUUUAGAAAAGAUAAAUUAAGAGUAGAUUAUUCCAAGAGAAAGUAGUUCGGUUGACGCAAAAUUGCUGAGGAAAGAGGUCCCCAAGAUAGAUUGAGAGUUGCAAGCAAAGAAGAUAUGGUUUCUGGAUUACGGACAUUGAUUGCAGAGAAGACACGAAGGGUCUACAGGCCCAAAAGGCCAAAAGGAGUCCAAGGAUCUUUCCAGAAUCGAAUAGAAUGACUAUUGUCAUAAACAUCAGCAAAAGCUUGAGGGAACAUGUUUGAUUCCAAUCCAGUAGAUUCUCACUACCAAGCCUCAUUCCUUUUUUGGAGAGGUAAGGACUCCCCAAGCUAUUUUACUCUCCUUAUGAAAUUACAUCGUAAAUCAAAAUUUUUAAUAAUGAAUUUGAAAAUCCAUAGAAUAACAUAGAUUCAAUAAUAGACAUAAAGAUGAUACUUGGGUAGGUAUACUAAACUCAAAAUCAGUUUCUUUCUCAACAUUGCCUUUGUGAUGACUUACCUACAUAGGAAAAAUGAAACAUGUUUUAAGUACGAUAUGUACAUAAUUUCAAAAGGCAAGAAACAAAGCUAAAGUAAAUGUACCUUUAAAGAA